UCCGGUCUUUAGAGCGCUGUCGUACCACUUCUUCCCAUUCCGAACAGAACCGUGAAAGGCAGCAGCGGGAACGAUAGUAACGGUUUUCACCGCUAUGAAAAUACCUCAAGGCCGGAU
rnacentral:rRNA from 1 species